rnacentral:rRNA from 1 species
CCUACGGGAGGCAGCAGUAGGGAAUCUUCCGCAAUGGACGAAAGUCUGAUGGAGCAACGCCGCGUGAGCGAUGAAGGCCUUCGGGUCGUAAAGCUCUGUUGUUAGGGAAGAAUAAGUACCGGAGUAACUGCCGGUACCUUGACGGUACCUAACCAGAAAGCCACGGCUAACUACGUGCCAGCAGCCGCGGUAAUACGUAGGUGGCAAGCGUUGUCCGGAAUUAUUGGGCGUAAAGCGCGCGCAGGCGGUCCUUUAAGUCUGAUGUGAAAGCCCACGGCUCAACCGUGGAGGGUCAUUGGAAACUGGGGGACUUGAGUGCAGAAGAGGAAAGCGGAAUUCCACGUGUAGCGGUGAAAUGCGUAGAGAUGUGGAGGAACACCAGUGGCGAAGGCGGCUUUCUGGUCUGUAACUGACGCUGAGGCGCGAAAGCGUGGGGAGCAAACAGGAUUAGAUACCCUGGUAGUCCACGCCGUAAACGAUGAGUGCUAAGUGUUAGGGGGUUUCCGCCCCUUAGUGCUGCAGCUAACGCAUUAAGCACUCCGCCUGGGGAGUACGGCCGCAAGGCUGAAACUCAAAGGAAUUGACGG